GAAGAAUAACUCAAUGAAUAAGCAUGGAGCAAAAUCUGAGAUGCAGGAAGGGUUCUGUGCCAACAGCCCUAGUCAAAUAGUCACCUGUGAGCUUUACAAAACCCUCCCCUGCCGGCUGCUGGGCUGGUUUUGGCAAGGACAGUGUGGCUCCCCGGCAGCCCCAGCACACCGGGGACAGGCUCUCCAGGGAUGCACAGGUGCAACUGAGAUGGUGAAGAAAACUGCACUCAGUUCAGAGUCACCAAAGAGAUCCAUGAAUCUACCUGCCAAAAUUUUACAGGAAAAAACUGUUUUCUUGUUAAUACAAAAGAAGAUGCAUAACUACCACAGAAACUCAUCCUGUUUCAAAACAAAAGCAAAAUUUCUUGUUCCUGUGUUGGUGCUUCAAAGAUUCUUUCUCUGUCCUCAGAGAAUCUGUCCUCAAAGCAGGCUUUACACCCAGUAAGGGUCUUCUGCUUCCUGCCUGAAUCAGGGGAAAUUGUGGAAGACAAGCAAAGGAAACAUUGAAUUCCAGCCUCCUGCUUAGGUUUAGGGAAAAAGGAGCAGCACAGUGCUGUGCAAGACUAUUUUAGAACAGAGAAGUUUUACAUCUAUGCCCAAUGAAUAUUAAACAGCCACACGCUUCAGCUCUGCUGCCUGCGCCCGGCGCCGCGUGAGCAGAUUUAAUUUCUCUUUAUGGAGAGGAGACCCACACCCAGAUUUUCAUGCAUGUGCCUUAGAGGUGAACGGGAUGUGAAGGGUGAACCCGAGUCUUCUCUGCCAGGAGAUCCCUUCAGCAAUCACUCACAACUGGAAAAACAAGGAGACAUUAAGGAAAAGCUGGCAGGGCAGGCAGGGUUUGUGCAGAUUGACGUGGAAUAACUGCCAGCUCGCUGGGAACUUCAUGUAAACCUUCCUGGGCUUUCACAUCAGGUCCAAGAGAGGUGUCAGGUAAAACAAAAAGGAUGAGAUGGAGAAGGAAAUGGUAUGCAAGGUGGGAGCAGGGCACGGCCAGGGCACUCAGUAUCCCAGCUGAGGUAGGACCAGAGCUCAGGCAUCUCUAUUUAUCAGCCCACCAGACAAAAUGUGCAGCUGAAUUAACCCCCUAGGAAGCAACAGCAAAAUAAACACAGAGCCUGUGAGCA
rnacentral:lncRNA from 1 species